UAACUUCAGACCGUAUAGACACCAGGGUGUACAAAAACGCACGCUUGCUGUCUGUUCAGCAUGUAAUUUGAAGUAGGCUAGAGGCGGAGAUGGUAGGAAGUAGGGCUGCACGCACCGGUAUAUAACAGUAGCCAGAAAAUACUGGACCGGUACCAGACACCAGGGUGGACAAAAAAGCACCCUUGCCGCCUGUUCAGCAUGUAAUUUGAAGUAGGCUAGAGGCGGAGAGGGUAGAAAGUAGGGCUGCACGCACCGGUAGAUAACAGUAGCCAGAAAAUACUGGGCCGGUACCAAAGGAUACAACCGCCAGGUUGGAUUCGUAAAAAGUUGCAAUGAAGGACAUGUGUUUCCUGUGUAACGACACAAAGUGCCCAGAGGUGACGAAAUGUUUUGAUCAUAAUGGUGACCUGAACCAGAAUCUGCUGACGAUGCCAGGUCCUUUCCAGCAAUGCACAUCCACCCCCUAUCCUCCUUCUGGGAGGUGCACCAUUUGUAGUCUGGAUCAUUAUUACACUGUGUGCAGAAACGUCUCAGAGAGCAUCCAGCCUGCCCUGGAGACCAACAGCACAGCCAUUACCAACUAUGAACAAGCCAAUUGCCCUGUCAUCGGCAUCGCACCAACUACUGUGAAUGGUUCAGACUUCACUGGAGCUGCUGCUCAAUAUGGACAUCCUGGGGGUGAACUGUGGUGGUGUUUACUGAUCCUCGUCCUGGUCGUUGUUUGCAUUGGUAUCAUUGCUUACAGGUGUAUCAAGAAGCGCAAAAUAGAAAACCUUGUCAUAUAAGGCACUCAGGACUACCCAUCCCUUAGCCAAGCUAUUUGGACCCAACCACCAGAGACGGGGACAGCACUAAGGACUACCCAUCCCUUAGCCAAGCUAUUUGGACCCAACCACCAGAGACAGGGACAGCACUCAGGACUACCCAUCCCUUAACCAAGCUAUUUGGACCCAACCACCAGAGACAGGGACAGCACUCAGGACUACCCAUCCCUUAACCAAGCUAUUUGGACCCAACCACCAGAGACAGGGACAGCACUCAGGACUACCCAUCCCUUAACCAAGCUAUUUGGACCCAACCACCAGAGACAGGGACAGCACUCAGGACUACCCAUCCCUUAACCAAGCUAUUUGGACCCAACCACCAGAGACAGGGACAGCACUCAGGACUACCCAUCCCUUAACCAAGCUAUUUGGACCCAACCACCAGAGACAGGGACAGCACUCAGGACUACCCAUCCCUUAACCAAGCUAUUUGGACCCAACCACCAGAGACAGGGACAGCACUCAGGACUACCCAUCCCUUAACCAAGCUAUUUGGACCCAACCACCAGAGACAGGGACAGCACUCAGGACUACCCAUCCCUUAACCAAGCUAUUUGGACCCAACCACCAGAGACGGGGACAGCACUCAGGACUACCCAUCCCUUAACCAAGCUAUUUGGACCCAACCACCAGAGACAGGGACAGCACUCAGGACUACCCAUCCCUUAACCAAGCUAUUUGGACCCAACCACCAGAGACGGGGACAGCACUCAGGACUACCCAUCCCUUAACCAAGCUAUUUGGACCCAACCACCAGAGACGGGGACAUCUUUUAAUACAUUUUCAUAUUCAGAUUCUUGUCAAUCAGUACCAUUAAACCAGUGCCUUGGAUAA